rnacentral:rRNA from 1 species
GAGUGGCGGACGGGUGAGUAACGCGUAGGAAUCUGCCCAUCUGUGGGGGAUACCAGUUGGAAACGACUGUUAAUACCGCAUAAUAUCUGCGGAUUAAAGGUGGCCUUUGUGCUGCCGCAGAUGGAUGAGCCUGCGUUAGAUUAGCUUGUUGGUGGGGUAAGGGCCUACCAAGGCUACGAUCUAUAGCUGAUUUGAGAGGAUGAUCAGCCACAUUGGGACUGAGACACGGCCCAAACUCCUACGGGAGGCAGCAGUGGGGAAUAUUGGACAAUGGGGGAAACCCUGAUCCAGCAAUGCCAUGUGUGUGAAGAAGGCUCUAGGGUUGUAAAGCACUUUAGUUGGGGAGGAAAGCUUAUAGGUUAAUAGCUUAUGAGAAGGACGUUACCCAAAGAAUAAGGACCGGCUAACUCCGUGCCAGCAGCCGCGGUAAUACGGGGGGUCCGAGCGUUAAUCGGAAUUACUGGGCGUAAAGGGUCUGUAGGUGGUUUGUUAAGUCAGAUGUGAAAGCCCAGGGCUCAACCUUGGAACUGCAUUUGAUACUGGCAAACUAGAGUAUGGUAGAGGAAUGGGGAAUUUCUGGUGUAGCGGUGAAAUGCGUAGAGAUCAGAAGGAACACCAAUGGCGAAGGCAACAUUCUGGACCAAUACUGACACUGAGGGACGAAAGCGUGGGGAUCAAACAGGAUUAGAUACCCUGGUAGUCCACGCUGUAAACGAUGAGUACUAGCUGUUGGAUUCGGUGUAAAGGAUCUAGUGGCGCAGCUAACGCGUUAAGUACUCCGCCUGGGGACUACGGCCGCAAGGCUAAAACUCAAAGGAAUUGACGGGGACCCGCACAAGCGGUGGAGCAUGUGGUUUAAUUCGAUGCAACGCGAAGAACCUUACCUGGUCUUGACAUCCUGCGAACUUUCUAGAGAUAGAUUGGUGCCUUCGGGAACGCAGUGACAGGUGCUGCACGGCUGUCGUCAGCUCGUGUUGUGAAAUGUUGGGUUAAGUCCCGCAACGAGCGCAACCCCUAUUGAUAGUUACCAUCAUUAAGUUGGGUACUCUAUUGAGACUGCCGCUGACAAGGCGGAGGAAGGUGGGGACGACGUCAAGUCAUCAUGGCCCUUACGACCAGGGCUACACACGUGCUACAAUGGGUAUUACAGAGGGCUGCGAAGGUGCGAGCUGGAGCGAAACUCAGAAAGGUACUCUUAGUCCGGA